AUUGAACGCUGGCGGCAGGCCUAACACAUGCAAGUCGAGCGGAUGAAGGGAGCUUGCUCCUGGAUUCAGCGGCGGACGGGUGAGUAAUGCCUAGGAAUCUGCCUGGUAGUGGGGGAUAACGUCCGGAAACGGGCGCUAAUACCGCAUACGUCCUGAGGGAGAAAGGGGGGGAUCUUCGGACCUCACGCUAUCAGAUGAGCCUAGGUCGGAUUAGCUAGUUGGUGGGGUAAAGGCCUACCAAGGCGACGAUCCGUAACUGGUCUGAGAGGAUGAUCAGUCACACUGGAACUGAGACACGGUCCAGAGUCCUACGGGAGGCAGCAGUGGGGAAUAUUGGACAAUGGGCGAAAGCCUGAUCCAGCCAUGCCGCGUGUGUGAAGAAGGUCUUCGGAUUGUAAAGCACUUUAAGUUGGGAGGAAGGGCAGUAAGUUAAUACCUUGCUGUUUUGACGUUACCAACAGAAUAAGCACCGGCUAACUUCGUG
rnacentral:rRNA from 1 species